AGGAGGGUUAGAAUGUGAGUAAAUGAAGACAGCAAUCUCCUCCCAUACCCAGGUCUCCAGGAGAAUGCGGAAUGUUGUUCUCAUGCUCAAGCUGAAAUUUGUCUCUCCUACUCCUCUACCCAUUUCCUGGAUGAAGAAAGAUACUCUGAAUGGAAAAGGAGGGAAAAAAAGGAAGACAACAUGGCUGAACUAUUUUGAUACAAUCAUGAGUCAAAAAAAAAAAAAAAGGAGAUACAAUGAUGGGUGCUCAAGAUAAGUGUUUUGGGAGAAGAUUCAUAACUAAUAGAUUUUUUUUUCCUACUGAAAUACUGUGAUCAUGGUAUGUGGUGCUGUUCCUUUACCACACAUGUUUUCAAUAAAAUGACAAGAGCAUUUAUUUGGUAAAUGGAC
rnacentral:lncRNA from 1 species